rnacentral:lncRNA from 1 species
AAGUACCUGUUUGGUUUGGAGUUACAAGGCCCCAAACGUGAGUUUGAAAAGUUAAAUGUGAUUUUAUCCUAAAAUUUUAUGUUUGGUUUCAACACAAUGAAAAUUGAUUGUGUCCCAAACUCACGUUCACCUGAAGCUCCAAUUUGGAGCUUUUGCGUUUGCCUAAAUUGAUUCUGAAUUUUGCAUUUUGUUUUCCAACACCUUCUUCCCUUAUUACCCUUUAUGUCUAUCAUGGUAAGGUUGUUGUUGAAGAGGACAUAUGUCGAAGAAGGGAACAAAGAUUGU